ensembl:lncRNA
CUUUGAUAUUAAUGAGUUUUUUGGGUUCAUUGAGAACAUGGUUGUUGUUCAAUAAUAAAAUUAUUCCUCAGAAAUACAACUUGCCUAAUAAUUCUGCACUCCCUGUACAUGCCUGUGUUAUUUUUUUAAGGUACAUCCCUGUGCUCCUCCUCCUCUGUUCAUAUUUGAUAAAUGGGAGAGGUAGUUCUUGGAAAUAAAGUAAAUAACAUACAUCAGGUUUGUUCAGUUGAGCUCUUGGUGUCAUUUGAAUGUUAUCUUUGAAAGCACAGACAUGGAAUGGGAAGAAAUAUGCAAGACGGUCCUUGUGUCUGCAGGAGCUGGUGGAACUGUGAUUCUGACUCCUGCCAUUCUGGCUUCACUGGGGUUCACUUCAGCUGGAAUAGCAGCAGGCUCCAUCGCUGCCAAACUGAUGUCAUAUUUAGCAAUCGCUAGUGGAGGUGGAGUUGUAGCAGGAGGUCUCGUAGCAACCUUGCAGUCCUGGAGUAAACUGAAUAAUUUACUAUAUAUUAUCUCUCUCUCUCUCUCUAAAAGCUUUGCUCAUGUUGAAUAAGCUAAUAGAGCUAAUAGUGUCUAACAUGAUUUCACUGUAGGUGCAGCAGGUAUGUCAUGGGCUGCCACUGCAUUAUUUGGCGGUGUUGGUGGAGCAGCGGCUUGGGUGCUCUCAACUGUGUGUAACGUGACUGUGGUUUAUGAAGAUUAACACGUAAAAAAACACAAACUGACCUACAAAUGUUUUCUCCUGUGACAAAUUUUAAUCGCCUGGAUGAAACGUUAUUCUUAUGUGUGAAUGUCGAACACUGAGAUUAAAGCAUAUUUUGAGAAUUAAGUUACAAAAAUGGUUCAUAAAAAUUUCAUUCAGAUUUUAUCCAUCAUUAAAAACAAAAACAAAAAACAACUGAUAUGGUGCCUUUAUUCUCUUCAUUAAUUCAAUGUGAAAAUUAAAAGUCAUGCAAAAAUAAGUGUUUCCUUGCUUUUAUUGUAAACAACUUAAUGUAAAGCACAGUAACAAUACCAUAUGUUUCUAUAGUCCAUAAAUCUAUCACUCUUACAGAGCCACAACUCUGACGGGAGACUAUGUAGGACAGGGGUGUCAAACUCCAGUCCUUGAGGGCCGGUGUCCUGAAACUUUUCCAUGUGUCCCUGAUGCAAC